rnacentral:lncRNA from 1 species
GACUUUUCAAGCAAUCACUCAAGGACUUGGACUUUUUUAAAUUGUAUUUCUCCCCUCCUUUAGGUUCAUGAUGCUCUCUCUGGCCACCUUCCAGACAGGAAGAAAGAGCAGAGGAUCACUGUGAGAGGAAUUUGAGGAUCAAAUCCUGAAGUGGUGAUGUCUGAACAUCCUGGACUGUCUUCAGCAAGAAUCUUGUUAGGAGUAGAAAGCAGAAGGCAACGUUAGAUGUAAAAAGAAAGACCUCAAAGCACUGUUGCUGGUAUGAAGAUGGAGGGGAGCAGAGAGGGAGAAGUAUCAAGAAACUCAGGAGUUAAGGUGAAAAAU